rnacentral:ncRNA from 15 species
CCAACCUUAGCUCAGAUGGUAGAGCGGAGGACUGUAGAUCCUUAGGUCGCUGGUUCGAAUCCGGCAGGUUGGA